AAAUUGAAGAGUUUGAUCAUGGCUCAGAUUGAACGCUGGCGGCAGGCCUAACACAUGCAAGUCGAACGGUAACAGAAAGA
rnacentral:rRNA from 1 species